CAGUCGAGGGGCAUCAGUUUGGUUUGCUUGCAACCAAAGCUGGCGACCGGCGCACGGGUGAGUAACACGUAUCCAACCUGCCUCAUACUCGGGGAUAGCCUUUCGAAAGAAAGAUUAAUAUCCGAUAGCAUAUAUUUCCCGCAUGGGUUUUAUAUUAAAGAAAUUCGGUAUGAGAUGGGGAUGCGUUCCAUUAGUUUGUUGGGGGGGUAACGGCCCACCAAGACUACGAUGGAUAGGGGUUCUGAGAGGAAGGUCCCCCACAUUGGAACUGAGACACGGUCCAAACUCCUACGGGAGGCAGCAGUGAGGAAUAUUGGUCAAUGGACGCGAGUCUGAACCAGCCAAGUAGCGUGAAGGAUGACUGCCCUAUGGGUUGUAAACUUCUUUUAUAUGGGAAUAAAGUUGUCCACGUGUGGAUUUUUGUAUGUACCAUAUGAAUAAGGAUCGGCUAACUCCGUGCCAGCAGCCGCGGUAAUACGGAGGAUCCGAGCGUUAUCCGGAUUUAUUGGGUUUAAAGGGAGCGUAGGCGGAUUGUUAAGUCAGUUGUGAAAGUUUGCGGCUCAACCGUAAAAUUGCAGUUGAUACUGGCAGUCUUGAGUGCAGUAGAGGUGGGCGGAAUUCGUGGUGUAGCGGUGAAAUGCUUAGAUAUCACGAAGAACUCCGAUUGCGAAGGCAGCUCACUGGAGUGUAACUGACGCUG
rnacentral:rRNA from 1 species